rnacentral:rRNA from 1 species
CCUACGGGCGGCAGCAGUGGGGAAUCUUCCGCAAUGGGCGAAAGCCUGACGGAGCAACGCCGCGUGAGUGAAGACGGCCUUCGGGUUGUAAAGCUCUGUGAUCCGGGACGAAAGAGCGCCAUACGAAGAAUAUGGCGAAGUGACGGUACCGUAGAAGAAAGCCACGGCUAACUACGUGCCAGCAGCCGCGGUAAUACGUAGGUGGCAAGCGUUGUCCGGAAUUAUUGGGCGUAAAGGGCGCGCAGGCGGCCUCUUAAGUCCAUCUUAAAAGAGCGGGGCUUAACCCCGUUAUGGGAUGGAAACUGAGAAGCUGGAGUAUCGGAGAGGAAAGUGGAAUUUCUAGUGUAGCGGUGAAAUGCGUAGAGAUUAGGAAGAACACCGGUGGCGAAGGCGACUUUCUGGACGACAACUGACGCUGAGGCGCGAAAGUGUGGGGAGCAAACAGGAUUAGAUACCCCAGUAGUC